rnacentral:siRNA from 1 species
AGUAUGUUACUAACAUAGUCUACA